rnacentral:rRNA from 1 species
GACGAACGCUGGCGGCGUGCCUAAUACAUGCAAGUCGAGCGGACUGAAUGGGAGCUUGCUCUUGUUCGGUCAGCGGCGGACGGGUGAGUAACACGUGGGCAACCUGCCCGCAAGACCGGGAUAACUCCGGGAAACCGGAGCUAAUACCGGAUAACACCGAAGACCGCAUGGUCUUUGGUUGAAAGGCGGCGCAAGCUGCCACUUGCGGAUGGGCCCGCGGCGCAUUUGCUAGUUGGUGAGGUAACGGCUCACCAAGGCGACGAUGCGUAGCCGGCCUGAGGGGGUGACCGGCCACACUGGGACUGAGACACGGCCCAGACUCCUACGGGAGGCAGCAGUAGGGAAUCUUCCGCAAUGGGCGAAAGCCUGACGGAGCGACGCCGCGUGAGCGAAGAAGGCCUUCGGGUCGUAAAGCUCUGUUGUGAGGGACGAAGGAGCGCCGUUUGAAGAAGGCGGCGCGGUGACGGUACCUCACGAGGAAGCCCCGGCUAACUACGUG